UACGAAGGGGGCUAGCGUUGCUCGGAAUUACUGGGCGUAAAGCGCCCGUAGGCGGCUUUUUAAGUCGGAGGUGAAAUCCUGGAGCUCAACUCCAGAACUGCCUUCGAUACUGAAGAGCUCGAGUCCGGGAGAGGUGAGUGGAACUGCGAGUGUAGAGGUGAAAUUCGUAGAUAUUCGCAAGAACACCAGUGGCGAAGGCGGCUCACUGGCCCGGUACUGACGCUGAGGUGCGAAAGCGUGGGGAGCAAACAGG
rnacentral:rRNA from 1 species